UGAUCCAGGAUGAAUUUGGGCAGGAUGAAUUGGGACAGGCUGAUCCAGGAUGAAUUUGGGCAGGAUGAAUUGGGACAGGCUGAUCCAGGAUGAAUUUGGGCAGGAUGAAUUGGGACAGGUUGAUCCAGGAUGAAUUUGGGCAGGAUGAACUGGGACAGGUUGAUCCAGGAUGAAUUUGGGCAGGAUGAAUUGGGACAGGCUGAUCCAGGAUGAAUUUGGGCAGGAUGAAUUGGGACAGGCUGAUCCAGGAUGAAUUUGGGCAGGAUGAAUUGGGACAGGUUGAUCCAGGAUGAAUUUGGGCAGGAUGAAUUGGGACAGGUUGAUCCAGGAUGAAUUUGGGCAGGAUGAAUUGGGACAGGCUGAUCCAGGAUGAAUUUGGGCAGGAUGAAUUGGGACAGGCUGAUCCAGGAUGAAUUUGGGCAGUUUGGUCCAGCAGGAGGAGUUGGAGCAGUUGGAAUUCCAGCUGUGCUGGGUGGAAGGGGAUGUUUGAUCC